rnacentral:rRNA from 1 species
UACGAAGGGGGCUAGCGUUGUUCGGAUUCACUGGGCGUAAAGGGUGCGUAGGUGGUCGGGUAAGUCUGGUGUGAAAUCUCCGAGCUCAACUCGGAAAUGGCAUUGGAUACUAUUCGGCUAGAGGAUUGGAGGGGGGACUGGAAUACUUGGUGUAGCAGUGAAAUGCGUAGAUAUCAAGUGGAACACCAGUGGCGAAGGCGAGUCCCUGGACAAUUCCUGACACUGAGGCACGAAAGCUAGGGGAGCAAACAGG